rnacentral:rRNA from 1 species
AUGUCGUCGUCGUUCAAGCCCAACCCCCUCUCGCUGAGCGUCCCGGACCCCGCUCUCGACCGCUGGCUCCGCGACUCCGGCUACCUCGACCUCCUCGACUCCUCCGCCCCCGCACCCGCCGCCGCCGCCCCCACACGCGCCAGCCCCGCAUCCACCUCCUCGGGGGCCGGCGCCGCCGCCGACGUCCUCGCCUUCGCGCGCACCCUAGCCUCUCUUCUCGCGCUCAACCCCUUUGCGUGCCUCUCCGCCGCCGACCUCGCCGCGCCCACCCCCUCCUGGUCCCUCGCCUUUAUCGGCGCUCCCGGCGUCGCCUCCUACUCCUGGCCCCCGACCCCCACCCAGGCCCGACUCCGCGUCCAGGAGAACGUCCGCCGCUACGCCCGCAACUAUGCCGCGCUAUCCGUCCUCGUCUUCGCCUGCUGCCUGUACCGGAUGCCUAUGUCGCUGCUGGGGUUGCUGGCCAGCCUCGCCGUGUGGGAGGCUGUGCGGUACUGCCGGAAGCGGUGGGAGCUCGCCACACGAGCGCCCGGAAUUGGGCAGGCUCUUCUGCACUGUGCCCAGAUUGCCACUGCUAUACUACUAUAUGUAUGCAACCUGCAGUUUGCUCUUGUGUAUGCCAUUGGGUUGAGUUAUGCAGUCAUGAUGCUGCAUGCUUCUCUUCGGAAGUUGACUCCCUCAAGCUUAUCUGUUCCAGCAAAUAAGAAUAGGAGGGCACAGCCAAGACGAAGCUAG